GGCUGGUCCGAGUGCAGUGGUGUUUACAACUAAUUGAUCACAACCAAUUACAGAUUCCUGUGUUCCCUCUCCACUCCCACUGCUUCACUUGACUAGCCUUAA
rnacentral:Y_RNA from 1 species